rfam:Amazona aestiva scaffold_331, whole genome shotgun sequence.
CCAAAGGCUUUUUACAUGUCAGUCUUUUUAAAGCCACACAGAUUUGCAGAGAAGCGGCCU